rnacentral:lncRNA from 1 species
AACCAACAAUCAAUCAUUUGAAUGUGUCUGUUUUUAAAUUUACCAAUUAUUACGAAACAAACGUUUCAAGCCAGUCUGUUUGGUCACAUAACUCUUCGAAUGCUUCGGUUAUUGGCUUUCAAAUAUUCGGUUUCUAUCUUGUUCCAGAUGAAGUUAAAUCCAUAAAAGCGCUUGAAAUUAUAAAGUGUUGGUUUCUUUUUUUUUAUAUUGAAUUGAAAUGUUUUAAUUUGCAAUUUAUUUAUUUUAUUUUUAGGGAGGAGUCUCUUUUCAAUUUAGUAGAAUAAUUGGGUUCAUAUUGAACUUUUUGGGUUUUUUUUCUCUCUUUGUUUCCUUGUUUUCUUGCUCCUACAUGUGUGUGCUUCGUCACUGACUUAUGUUUCAAUCUUAAAAGAUCAUUCUCUAUAUAAAAAAGGUAUCAUUGAAUGAAAUUGAAGAGAUUACGAGCCCUGUACUUGAUAUAAAGACCUUUUUAAAAGGACCUAUUUCUUAGAUAUUGUUAUAUUGCAAAGUUAUUGUAAAAUUGUUUUCAGAACACAAAGUUAUCAUUCAAUUCAAAUU